GGACAGGUGGCUGAGUGGCUGAAGGCGGUGGCUUCGAACCCCACCGAGGGGCUGAAUAGGCUCCUCCGCGAGUUCAAAUCUCGCCCUGUCCGCCA
rnacentral:tRNA from 1 species